rnacentral:tRNA from 2 species
GGCCUGAUGGUCUAGUGGUAUGAUUGUCGCUUCGUAAGCUUGCCCCGCCGCCGCCACCAACACCCAACCAACACCGUCCUAACAACCAUCUAGGGGUUUCUCUACCUGGAUACAGUGUAUCUGUUAUGUGACAGGCCCCGGGUUCGAAUCCCGGUCAGGCCC